rnacentral:ncRNA from 1 species
UAUCUUCGGGGUAGGGUGAAAUUCCCAAUCGGCGGUAUAGUCCGCGAGGAACAAUGAUUUGUUUUUGAUACCGGUGCAAUUCCGGAACCGACAGUUACAGUCUGGAUGGGAGAAGAUU